rnacentral:rRNA from 1 species
UACAGGGGGUGCAAACGUUGCUCGGAAUCAUUGGGCGUAAAGCGCACGUAGGCGGCAUGGUAAGUAGGGUGUGAAAUCCCUCGGCUCAACCGAGGAAUUGCGCUCUAAACUACCGUGCUAGAGGAAGCUAGAGGUGAGCGGAACUGAUGGUGGAGCGGUGAAAUGCGUUGAUAUCAUCAGGAACACCGGAGGCGAAGGCGGCUCACUGGGGCUUUUCUGACGCUGAGGAACGAAAGCCAGGGUAGCGAACGGG